GAGUUUGAUCCUGGCUCAGGACGAACGCUGGCGGCGUGCCUAAUACAUGCAAGUCGAGCGGACAGAUGGGAGCUUGCUCCCUGAUGUUAGCGGCGGACGGGUGAGUAACACGUGGGUAACCUGCCUGUAAGACUGGGAUAACUCCGGGAAACCGGGGCUAAUACCGGAUGGUUGUUUGAACCGCAUGGUUCAAACAUAAAAGGUGGCUUCGGCUACCACUUACAGAUGGACCCGCGGCGCAUUAGCUAGUUGGUGAGGUAACGGCUCACCAAGGCRACGAUGCGUAGCCGACCUGAGAGGGUGAUCGGCCACACUGGGACUGAGACACGGCCCAGACUCCUACGGGAGGCAGCAGUAGGGAAUCUUCCGCAAUGGACGAAAGUCUGACGGAGCAACGCCGCGUGAGUGAUGAAGGUUUUCGGAUCGUAAAGCUCUGUUGUUAGGGAAGAACAAGUACCGUUCGAAUAGGGCGGUACCUUGACGGUACCUAACCAGAAAGCCACGGCUAACUACGUGCCAGCAGCCGCGGUAAUAC
rnacentral:rRNA from 1 species